GAGUUUGAUCCUGGCUCAGGACGAACGCUGGCGGCGUGCUUAACACAUGCAAGUCGAACGGAAAGGCCCCGCUUGCGGGGUACUCGAGUGGCGAACGGGUGAGUAACACGUGGGUGAUCUGCCCUGCACUUCGGGAUAAGCCUGGGAAACUGGGUCUAAUACCGGAUAGGACCCCUCUUUAGUGUGGGGGGUGGAAAGUUUUUUCGGUGUGGGAUGAGCCCGCGGCCUAUCAGCUUGUUGGUGGGGUAAUGGCCUACCAAGGCGUCGACGGGUAGCCGGCCUGAGAGGGUGGACGGCCACAUUGGGACUGAGAUACGGCCCAGACUCCUACGGGAGGCAGCAGUGGGGAAUAUUGCACAGUGGGCGGAAGCCUGAUGCAGCGACGCCGCGUGGGGGAUGACGGCCUUCGGGUUGUAAACCUCUUUCGCUAGGGACGAAGCUUUUGUGACGGUACCUAGAUAAGAAGCACCGGCUAACUACGUGCCAGCAGCCGCGGUAAUACGUAGGGUGCGAGCGUUGUCCGGAAUUACUGGGCGUAAAGAGCUCGUAGGUGGUUUGUCGCGUCGUCUGUGAAAUUCCGGGGCUUAACUUCGGGCGUGCAGGCGAUACGGGCAAUACUUGAGUGCUGUAGGGGAGACUGGAAUUCCUGGUGUAGCGGUGGAAUGCGCAGAUAUCAGGAGGAACACCGAUGGCGAAGGCAGGUCUCUGGGCAGUAACUGACGCUGAGGAGCGAAAGCAUGGGUAGCGAACAGGAUUAGAUACCCUGGUAGUCCAUGCCGUAAACGGUGGGCGCUAGGUGUAGGGGUCUUCCACGACUUCUGUGCCGUAGCUAACGCAUUAAGCGCCCCGCCUGGGGAGUACGGCCGCAAGGCUAAAACUCAAAGGAAUUGACGGGGGCCCGCACAAGCGGCGGAGCAUGUGGAUUAAUUCGAUGCAACGCGAAGAACCUUACCUGGGCUUGACAUACACCGGACCGGGCCAGAGAUGGUCUUUCCCUUGUGGCUGGUGUACAGGUGGUGCAUGGUUGUCGUCAGCUCGUGUCGUGAGAUGUUGGGUUAAGUCCCGCAACGAGCGCAACCCUUGUCUUAUGUUGCCAGCACGUAGUGGUGGGGACUCAUGAGAGACUGCCGGGGUCAACUCGGAGGAAGGUGGGGAUGACGUCAAAUCAUCAUGCCCCUUAUGUCCAGGGCUUCACACGUGCUACAAUGGUCGGUACAACGCGUUGCGACACUGUGAGGUGGAGCUAAUCGCUGAAAGCCGGCCUCAGUUCGGAUUGGGGUCUGCAACUCGACCCCAUGAAGUCGGAGUCGCUAGUAAUCGCAGAUCAGCAACGCUGCGGUG
rnacentral:rRNA from 1 species